rnacentral:rRNA from 1 species
ACGAACGCUGGCGGCGUGCUUAACCCAUGCAAGUCGAACGGAAAGGCCCUGCUUUUGUGGGGUGCUCGAGUGGCGAACGGGUGAGUAACACGUGAGUAACCUGCCCUUGACUUUGGGAUAACUUCAGGAAACUGGGGCUAAUACCGGAUAGGAGCUCCUGCUGCAUGGUGGGGGUUGGAAAGUUUCGGCGGUUGGGGAUGGACUCGCGGCUUAUCAGCUUGUUGGUGGGGUAGUGGCUUACCAAGGCUUUGACGGGUAGCCGGCCUGAGAGGGUGACCGGCCACAUUGGGACUGAGAUACGGCCCAGACUCCUACGGGAGGCAGCAGUGGGGAAUAUUGCACAAUGGGCGGAAGCCUGAUGCAGCAACGCCGCGUGCGGGAUGACGGCCUUCGGGUUGUAAACCGCUUUCACCUGUGACGAAGCGUGAGUGACGGUAAUGGGUAAAGAAGCACCGGCUAACUACGUG